rnacentral:misc_RNA from 1 species
GAUGAAGAACGUAGCGAAAUGCGAUAAGUAAUGUGAAUUGCAGAAUUUAGUGAAUCAUCGAAUCUUUGAACGCACAUUGCGCCCGCUGGAACUCCGGCGGGCACGCCUGUCCGAGCGUCAUUUCAACCCUCAGGCCCCCCUUCGCGGGCGGGCCUGGUGUUGGGGCCCGGCCGCUACCCUGCGGCCGUCCCCUAAAUUCAGUGGCGGCCUCGCCGUGAUCCCUUGCGUAGUAAUGCACCUCGCACCGGAGAGCGCCGUGGCCACGCCGUAAAACCCCCAAUUUUCAAUGGUUGACCUCGGAUCAGGUGGGAAUACCCGCUGAACUUAAGCAUAUCAAUAAGCGGAGGA